CAAGUCGAGCGAAUCGAUGGGAGCUUGCUCCCUGAGAUUAGCGGCGGACGGGUGAGUAACACGUGGGCAACCUGCCUAUAAGACUGGGAUAACUUCGGGAAACCGGAGCUAAUACCGGAUACGUUCUUUUCUCGCAUGAGAGAAGAUGGAAAGACGGUUUACGCUGUCACUUAUAGAUGGGCCCGCGGCGCAUUAGCUAGUUGGUGAGGUAAUGGCUCACCAAGGCGACGAUGCGUAGCCGACCUGAGAGGGUGAUCGGCCACACUGGGACUGAGACACGGCCCAGACUCCUACGGGAGGCAGCAGUAGGGAAUCUUCCGCAAUGGACGAAAGUCUGACGGAGCAACGCCGCGUGAACGAAGAAGGCCUUCGGGUCGUAAAGUUCUGUUGUUAGGGAAGAACAAGUACCAGAGUAACUGCUGGUACCUUGACGGUACCUAACCAGAAAGCCACGGCUAACUACGUGCCAGCAGCCGCGGUAAUACGUAGGUGGCAAGCGUUGUCCGGAAUUAUUGGGCGUAAAGCGCGCGCAGGUGGUUCCUUAAGUCUGAUGUGAAAGCCCACGGCUCAACCCGUGGAGGGUCAUUGGAAACUGGGGAACUUGAGUGCAGAAGAGGAAAGUGGAAUUUCCAAGUGUAGCGGUGAAAUGCGUAGAGAUUUGGAGGAACACCAGUGGCGAAGGCGACUUUCUGGUCUGUAACUGACACUGAGGCGCGAAAGCGUGGGGAGCAAACAGGAUUAGAUACCCUGGUAGUCCACGCCGUAAACGAUGAGUGCUAAGUGUUAGAGGGUUUCCGCCCUUUAGUGCUGCAGCUAACGCAUUAAGCACUCCGCCUGGGGAGUACGGCCGCAAGGCUGAAACUCAAAGGAAUUGACGGGGGCCCGCACAAGCGGUGGAGCAUGUGGUUUAAUUCGAAGCAACGCGAAGAACCUUACCAGGUCUUGACAUCCUCUGACAACCCUAGAGAUAGGGCUUUCCCCUUCGGGGGACAGAGUGACAGGUGGUGCAUGGUUGUCGUCAGCUCGUGUCGUGAGAUGUUGGGUUAAGUCCCGCAACGAGCGCAACCCUUGAUCUUAGUUGCCAGCAUUCAGUUGGGCACUCUAAGGUGACUGCCGGUGACAAACCGGAGGAAGGUGGGGAUGACGUCAAAUCAUCAUGCCCCUUAUGACCUGGGCUACACACGUGCUACAAUGGAUGGUACAAAGGGCUGCAAACCUGCGAAGGUAAGCGAAUCCCAUAAAGCCAUUCUCAGUUCGGAUUGCAGGCUGCAACUCGCCUGCAUGAAGCCGGAAUCGCUAGUAAUCGCGGAUCAGUAUGCCGCGGUGAAUACGUUCCCGGGCCUUGUACACACCGCCCGUCACACCACGAGAGUUUGUAACACCCGAAGUCGGUGAGGUAACCUUCAUGGAGCCAGCCGCCUAAGGUGGGACAGAUGAUUGGGGG
rnacentral:rRNA from 2 species